AACAGCUUAGAUACCAGAACCUUAUUUUCACGCGAACCGCGCACAAGGAAAAGCGAACAGCGAUCCGAAUUUAGCGACAGGCAGCUACAGGCCGCCGUCAAAGUGAGGAAGAAAACAUUUAUCCAAAGUAACAAAACUUGUACAGAGACUCGUAGUCCCAUAAUAGAGUGCAUACAAAUAAAUGUGAUUUAAACAGGUGA